UCCUCUAACUAGACUCUGGACGGGCACUUGCAUACUCUCAACUGUAUUUACGUUCUUGCUGAAGACACGGUCAUCCACUCCUGGUGUCACCCAGACACAUCAGAGAACUAGCGAAGAUUUUGAAAAGGUUUGAACUAAGAAUGAGCCCCAGACUGAGAUGACUUCUAAAAGAGAAACGAAGACCAAGAAAGGCUACGGUUGGGCAUGGAGGAUGCAGGAAACAGGAAGGGAAAUAGGAUAGCACAUUUUAUCUGCUGGUUCGAGCCCGGAGUUGUCUCAUGGACAAGGAGUCCCGUUUUGCAACUAAUAUUGUUAAUCUAAAUCACACUGACCCAGUGAAAGUGAAAGGAAAGCAAAUUUUGUUUUCAAGUGUUCUGAGAAAUAACAUCGUGGAUUAUUGGAGAGUAUUCUGUAUAUGAAAGGAUUGAGAUAACACUCAAAUGAAAACACUGGCUUCUCUUCCUGUCUCUCAUUCAAGUUUACACUGAGGAAUAUGACUUGCGGGGACGGAGUACAGUAAUAGACCCAGAGACUUUCCUGGGCUAUCUUCUCUCCUUUGGUAUGUUAGCAGCUUGGUCAGGGAAGGUGGGGAGAUCAAGGAAGAAUUCAGUGAGCCACGUUGAUCUAAAGGGGAAAGACACCCACUCAGGAUUUCAUGGGCAACUACGUCAUGAUUUACAACAGCCUGUGACUGUAUCCUGUUAUCCUUAAAAAGUGGAUGGGAGCCCCAUCUGUUCUCAGGCUCAUGGGAGAAACUGAGACAUUUUUCCCUGUGUUUCCUGAUUUGAAGUCGACCUAGUUAUUUUUCUUGCAUUGGAGAUGGGUUGGUGCUCAGUGAAACUUAGCCGUCAUAUGUCAGGUGGGCAUGGGUACAUCACUGACUGUGAUAAUCUUAGGCAAAAUAAUGAAGCCAACAAAAUCUGUCAUCAUGCUCCAGCCACUUUUCCUUUCUAUCUUCCUUUCCACAUUUUCAGCCUCAGUGUCAAUUUCAAUUCUCAGCCCUCAUGCAGACCUUAACUGACUGGUUUUUCCUUUGGAAGUGAACCUCUAGCACUUUAAUUCUUUACCAUUAAAAUAUACCACCCCUUGAUAUUCUUCCUUCUACUAAAUACUAAAGGGAUGUUAUUGUGGGGAUUUUUAAUCUAAUGCGCUGUAGUUUACAAGAUAUUUGCCAUAAUUAACAAGGCUUCUAGUAUCUCCAGUCACUAAGUAUUGGUGAGGAAAUAUUUUUGUCAGAAAAGGCCUUCCAAGUAGCCUCAUGAUGACCGUACAUGAAAGAGAUGCUGUAAUUACAGCCAAUGAGGGAUUUCACCUCUGGAUGCAGCAACUCCAUUCUCCAAAUUUCUUGGGCUGAAAUACCUGGAAUUGUCCUUGACUCCUCUCUUUCCCUCACACGCCACAUCAAAUCAUUAGCAAAUCUUAUAAUUCCUAACUUCAUCCUAAAUCUGCUGAUUAUAACCAUCUCCAGUGUCUUUUUUCACCUGCCUCUUGUUUUAGACUCUUGAGCCAGUGAUUCCCAGUAUAGUAUCUUCCCCUAGAAGCAUUUUCAAAACCUAUGGAGCUGUGUUCAUUAGUUAGAGGGGUUGAAGAAGAUAUUAGGCCUUUAAUGGGACAGUGAUGCUAGAUGCUCUUCAUGCACAGAAGAGUCCUCUAGAAAAAAAUAAUUAUCCUCCAUUCUACUUUCCUCUUAAACCUCUCACAUCUAUGGUCAUUCCUGAGCCCAGAAUCGAAUUCAAUGUUAUUUGUAAACACAAAGUGGGUUUCUGUUUUUGUUUUAAUGUGUAGAUGUGUAGGAAUUUUCCAGGAAUGUGCCUGAUGUGUAAAUUGAAGGGAUGUUACAUUUAAUGUUGUUUAAAACUAUUAGAAUAUUUUUCAUUAGCUUAGAAAAUGACAUCACCAUUGACUAUGCUGUUUUUGGUCUUUGAAUUGCCAGUUAAAAACAUUGGUCAGCCCUUUUUAGCUUUCACAUUUACAGCAAACAGACAAAUGAGUGUCAAAAUCUGACCCCUAGUCAUGGUUUUCUAAUGUCUUCUCAUAGGAAAAGACAUUUAUUGAAAUACAUGCUUUUUAAAAUAAAUUAUUUUCCACUCAUUGACGUUUGGUAUUAGAAACAGGGCAUUUGAAAUUUUGUAUUAGUCUAAGUGUCGAUUUAUUUUGGUAAUGAGAUGUAUAGGUAGUUUAUUUAGAAUGGUAAAAA